rnacentral:misc_RNA from 1 species
CGGAACCAAGAGAUCCGUUGUUGAAAGUUUUAACUGAUUACGAUAAUCAACUCAGACUGCAUACUUUCAGAACAGCGUUCAUGUUGGGGUCUUCGGCGGGCGCGGGCCCGGGGGCGCAAGGCCUCCCCGGCGGCCGUCGAAACGGCGGGCCCGCCGAAGCAACAAGGUACGAUAGACACGGGUGGGAGGUUGGACCCAGAGGGCCCUCACUCGGUAAUGAUCCUU